CUGUAAUAAUAUUCCGCGGUCAGAUAAACACCAGACUUGCUCCCUCACUUCAUGCAGGUCAGGUGCCCGUUCGGACUUCGUGCAAAGUGGGAAGCGCCACCUCCCGGGAAGCCAACCUACUCGAGAACGAAGGAAGUGACUCAUAGAAUCUUAGGCAAAAAAAAAAGCAGCGUGCCGGAAGAGCAAGAAAAAGCAGUGCCGGAAGUUAAACGUCGGAAUGUUGCUCCCUAGAAUGACAUCCGAUUCCCAAGAGGAAGUGUGGCCGAGUGGUGUUCUGCAAAACGGACUCCCCGGCAGCCGAUCCGGAAAGAAGCGUUCCGCGCCUGCGGGUGCCAGGAACCACGUGGGGCCGAGGCGUGUUUCCGGUGCCGGCGGCCCCUGGAGGAGUUGCAGCUGUAGCAGCUGGAGGGGUCAGGGGCCUCCUCCUUCCCCAUCUUGUGAAGGCAGAGAAGGUCAUGAGCCCAGUCUUCUCUGUAAAAGGCAAGGUCUGGGAUGGACGUUCGCUGGGCCUCUUUCCUGCAUGAUGUCCCAUCUCAGAUAUUACUAACGGCUCUAGUUCUCCCACCAUCCACCUUUUACCGGUUUGUCUGAAUAUUCAUUAUGUCUUAUGAUGUGGCAUAAAUUGUAUCGGGUUGGGAAAUCAGGAUUUUGGACCUCAUUCUGGUGCUCUAGAUUUGUUUGUUUGUAAAAUGAAGAGGAUUAUAAUGAAAUAGUCUCUAAGACCCCUUCCAGUUCUAAUACCAUGAUUGUGGCAGUAGGUCAAACUGUUUUGUUCUACCUUAGGCCUGACCCCACUUUAUCACUGUUGUUUCCCUUCUCUGAAUAAUUCACAAAGACAGUGUGUCUUUUUUUU